UACGUAGGGAGCUAGCGUUGUCCGGAAUCAUUGGGCGUAAAGCGCGUGUAGGCGGUCCGGUAAGUCCGCUGUGAAAGCCAGGGGCUCAACCCUUGGAUGCCGGUGGAUACUGUCGGGCUUGAGUACGGAAGAGGCGAGUGGAAUUCCUGGUGUAGCGGUGAAAUGCGCAGAUAUCAGGAGGAACACCGAUGGCGAAGGCAGCUCGCUGGGACGGUACUGACGCUAAGGCGCGAAAGCGUGGGGAGCGAACAGG
rnacentral:rRNA from 1 species